rnacentral:rRNA from 1 species
AGUGAACGCUGGCGGUAGGCCUAACACAUGCAAGUCGAACGGCAGCACAGUAAGAGCUUGCUCUUACGGGUGGCGAGUGGCGGCCGGGUGAGGAAUACAUCGGAAUCUACUUUUUCGUGGGGGAUAACGUAGGGAAACUUACGCUAAUACCGCAUACGACCUACGGGUGAAAGCAGGGGAUCUUCGGACCUUGCGCGAGUGAAGGAGCCGAUGUCGGAUUAGCUAGUUGGCGGGGUAAAGGCCCACCAAGGCGACGAUCCGUAGCUGGUCUGAGAGGAUGAUCAGCCACACUGGAACUGAGACACGGUCCAGACUCCUACGGGAGGCAGCAGUGGGGAAUAUUGGACAAUGGGCGCAAGCCUGAUCCAGCCAUACCGCGUGGGUGAAGAAGGUCUUCGGGUUGUAAAGCCCUUUUGUUGGGAAAGAAAAGCAGCAGGUUAAUACCCCGCUGUUCUGACGGUACCCAAAGAAUAAGCACCGGCUAACUUCGUG